rnacentral:lncRNA from 1 species
CAAGGAUGUCCUUUUUACCACUGAGCUUGUUCUAAGUUUCCUCUGGACCUCCUCUGUUGAUAAGCUAGUGGGGACUCGAGGAGCGAGGCUGGAAGUCCAGCCUCCCUGCCAACACCUCAGGGAUGAAGAUUAGCUCUUUGGAACUGAGAGAUGAGAUGAGGCCUGGAAAACUUCCCCCAGUACAGUCAAGUUCCUGUUGACUAAUUCUGUGACCACCAGUGACAGUCUUUGAGUCCGUGAGGCAGCGUUGCGGCAGCACAGGCUUUGCUUGGAGUUGGAUGGUUCGCACCCUGCUUGGCAUGGUUUCUAAGAGACAUCCUCUGAGUGGAUGAGGGGAGAAUCCGGCAGGCCUCUAGUCACACUGGAGAAAAACAAGGAGAGAAAAAUCUAAACCCAGCAGAAGAGAAAGUUUAAGAAAGCGGUCGUCGCCAAUACCAAAAUUAGCUAUGAUAUUCAGGAAGAAAAAAAUGGAAACACGAUAACCACAUUCAAUAAAGACCAAGGCCGGAUUCCAUUGGCCAGAGCUCAGCCACGCGCCACACCUGGCUAAAGAGACUCUGGCUGAAGAAUUCCCUGAAUAUUUUAAUGUAGCUCUAGGUUAUAACACAGAACAACCACAAGGUGGCAGAAGAACUCCAUUCUUGUAAAUCUCUUAGUUGCUUCUUUAUUUCAUCUUCCCUAUUCCAUCUAAUGUUCCCUGAAUUUUACUAUUUUGUUGGUUUGAAAAUAUGUGUGACUUACGUCCUUUAAAGGAUUUGGUUCCUAAGGUUUUGAAUAGACUGGAAUAUAAAACAUUUAUAGAAAAGAAAAAU